AAACUUUGAUGAAAAUAUACAACUGACAUCCGCCAGGGAACUACAAGCGCCAGCUUAAAACCCAAAGGACUUGGCGGUGCCUCAGACCCACCUAGAGGAGCCUGUUCUAGAACCGAUAACCCCCGUUCAACCUCACCACCUCUUGUUUUCCCCGCCUAUAUACCACCGUCGUCAGCUUACCCUGUGAAGGUUAUAUAGUAAGCAAAAUGGGUAUAACCCAAAACGUCAGGUCGAGGUGUAGCGCAUGGGGUGGGAAGAAAUGGGCUACAUUCUCUAAAAUAGAGCAUUACGAACCACGCUGUGAAACCAGCGUUCGAAGGUGGAUUUAGCAGUAAACAGAAAGCAGAGAGUUCU
rnacentral:rRNA from 1 species